AUGUAAAUUUGUUCGAGACUUGCCAUUAAUUUUCUACAGAUUUUAAAUCGUCAUAAAUUUCACAAAAUCCUUAAAGUUUUUGGGAGAUUUAGACAGAACGUGAAACAGAUUUGACGUUUAAGAUGGGAUGUGUGGAGUUGGCAACACUCAUAUUCUAUUUCCAGCCGAGUAUCAAUUAUUGUUUGGAUAAAUGUCACAUCUGAGAAACCUUUUCUUAAGCCGAAAACAUAUCCAACGUUUUCGUUUAACGCCGAUGUGGGAAAUACAUCGCCAUUAUGACUUUUGGCAAGCAAUAUUGUUGUAUUUUCACGUUUCGCGUUGCCAAAAGUUGAAACAGUGUUGUAUUUUUCAUGUCGACAUCAAAUGAAAGGUUGUAUCUGUUGUAGGCUUUACAUUACCAUAAUUUGACCACAAAUUGCAAGGAAAUAUCUAUUUUAAGUUCGUCUCUAAACAGCCUUCAUGGUGUAAAUUUAAGAUGACUCGAAUAUUUUUGAUCGUGUGGCUAAAUAAAUCGUGUAAACGUA